rnacentral:tRNA from 1 species
GCGGGCGUCGUCCAGCGGCAGGACACCGGUCUCCCAAGCCGGAAACACGGGUUCGAAUCCCGCCGCCCGCUUCA